rnacentral:rRNA from 1 species
UUCGGGGGUAAGUAGAGUGGCGUCCGGGUGAGUAACACGUAGGUAAUCUACCUUCGGGUGGGGAAUAACCCGCCGAAAGGCGGGCUAAUACCGCAUAAUGCAGCGGCACCUAAUGGUGAUUAGUUGUUAAAGCGGGGGACCGCAAGGCCUCGCGCCUGAAGAGGAGCCUGCGGCAGAUUAGCUAGUUGGUGAGGUAAUGGCUCACCAAGGCUUCGAUCUGUAGCUGGUCUGAGAGGACGGCCAGCCACACUGGCACUGACACACGGGCCAGACUCCUACGGGAGGCAGCAGUGGGGAAUUUUGGGCAAUGGGCGAAAGCCUGACCCAGCAACGCCGCGUGAGGGAGGAAAUCCUUCGGGAUGUAAACCUCACAAGCAAGGGAAGAGAGCCGCGAGGCGAAUAACCUCGCGGUCCGACGGUACCUUGCGUAAGCCACGGCUAACUACGUGCCAGCAGCCGCGGUAAUACGUAGGUGGCAAGCGUUGUUCGGAAUUAUUGGGCGUAAAGGGCGCGUAGGCGGUCGGUUAAGUCAGUUGUGAAAGCCCGGGGCUCAACCCCGGAGGGUCGACUGAUACUGAUUGACUAGAGUACGGAAGAGGUAGCUGGAAUUCCCGGUGUAGCGGUGAAAUGCGUAGAUAUCGGGAGGAACACCUGAGGCGAAGGCGGGCUACUGGGCCGAUACUGACGCUGAGGCGCGAAAGCCAGGGGAGCGAACGGGAUUAGAUACCCCGGUAGUCCUGGCCCUAAACGAUGGACACUUGGUGUGUCGGGUUUUACAGU